UACGUAGGGUGCGAGCGUUAAUCGGAAUUACUGGGCGUAAAGUGUGCGCAGGCGGCAGAGCAAGUCGAGUGUGAAAGCCCCGGGCUUAACUUGGGAAUUGCGCUCGAAACUACUUUGCUGGAGUGUGGCAGAGGAAGGUGGAAUUCCACGUGUAGUCGGUGGAAAUGACGUAGAGAUGUGGAGGAACACCAAUGGCGAAAGGCG
rnacentral:rRNA from 1 species